AAGCUAGGCUAUGUUUGUCCCCUGUGGCACUUUAUAAACCAGCGGCCAAGGGACAAGUUACAUUAUAGAUGAAGUUGCGUGACGUUGGCCGUCUCGACCACGCGUGUCCGAUGUUGACUCUGGGUAGCCGGCUGGUCGGAGCAGCCGACCGCGGGUGGGUAUCGGAGCAGCCGGCCCGGGCGGGCAUGCACCCUGUCCGACUCACCGUCUUUAGGGUACCCUGGGGUCAACCCCCCGACAAUCUAUGAUCACAAUAUAAGGUCGUUAUCACAUAGAUGGUACGCCAUCCAGACCUCCGUCCCCAAGUUUUGUGGCGUGGUUGAUAUGUUGGAGGAAGGUGGUCAUUGCACGAGGUAGAGGAAGUGAUCGUAAGUUUUGCUUCUUUUCGCUCAACUUGUUGAUUGACUCGUUCAUUCAUUCAAUAUUGCUAUACAUGUUGUGUAGCCCGCACACGCUAUCAUGAUGUACCAUAAAGGAGUAACCAUUUAUGUGCAUGCACUGUUGAAUGAAGCUGAGGGUACAGUAUGUGUGGGACAACAAUAUACGUUCGUGAAAAACUUGGGACAACAAUAUACGUUCAUGAAAAACUUGUUGAAUAUCCAUUUAAUCUCGUUGAAUUAGAAUUAUUAUUGUACUAGACUUACUUGCGUUAAUUUCUAUCCGUACUUUGACGAUAUAAGUCGUGUUUACAUGAAUUUCGUUCGAUUAGUUAAAACUCGACUUAAAAUAUAUGCGUACAGCAUGGAAAGACCGGCUCGCAUAUUCGUGUGUUCGAACUAGUUUUCUCUCGUUUGUGGGCGGAUGUCGGAACAAAUCUGCGUGAUGCCCUUAAAGCUGUAGCAAACUUUUAGAGUUAAUAGCACCCAGGUCUACAAACUUGACGAGUUUGUAAAUUGUUGUGUUAAGCAUACUGAUCUAGAUUAUCUCAUUCAAUCACACAAACUGCUUACGGAGAUGCACUGUCUUGUGAACGAGAAAAAACAACAAAAAGAGGUAAACGGCAGGGUUGUGCCAUUUGACUGAUCCGUUGGAUGCCUUCUCCUCGUAGUAUCAUCCCUUGUUAUUUUUUUAACAUAGUACAUAUGUAAAUGUUUAUAUAUAUGUACAUACGUUCAUUUCUAUGAAUGUAUACAUGCACACCCUAUUUUUAUGAACAUCUUCGCAAGAUUGAGCCGACAUAUCAUCUUGAAAUUUACGGAGUCAUUGUAGUCACCUCGUCGUCGACAAAAUGUCUCCUUCCACUAAAUGCGCAUCGUAGAAAAUUUUGAAAUAAAUUCAGAAAUAAAUGCGAGCACGAGGAUUGAACUUUGAUGGACUGAAGAUACUACAGUCUCUUUAACCAUCCAAUCACAGGUUGGUUCAUGACUCCCCAUUGCUAUGUAAUGUUGAUCCAUUCUAAGCCCACAUACUUGCAAUUUGGUUGUAUAAUGUGUGAUUGUGCGAUGACAUGCCCUUCCUUUGAUUUUUCCCCGUGGCAGGUUCGGUUGUCAUGGCAGCGCUUUUGAGUCGUGCCUUGUUUGCUUCCUUGUUGCUGCCAUGGUAGCGCUUUUGCUAGGCGUCAUUGUAGCCGGAGUUGGGACGCUGACAUCCCCUCCUUGAAACAUGGCUUGCCCCUAAUAUGGUGGAUUUGAAAAGUGUUCCUUCAACCUGUUGGCAUCCUCUCAUUUUGCAUCGAGAACGACUUGAUUAGACCAACGAAUAAGUAGUUGCUCGUGCCGUCCAAAAGGGUUCUACGCUAGCGGCUUGUCGUGAUUUCCAUUGGGAUGAGUAUCGCACCUGAUAGCUAGGGAAGCUCAGGAGUUGCCACUAUACCUCAGGUAUGAGCUAGCCUGAGUUGGGUAACAUGGAAAACAUUGUGUACUUACAUUGGAUCCAUCUCACAGUUCAGGUCUGUAUACCACAGGAUUGAUAGCUUGCAGAACUUUGAAGGGGGCAAAGUAUCUCAAUGAAACCUUGUGAUUGGCCCGUCGCUCUAUCGAUGUUUGGUCGUACUAAUGUAGUUUGACAAAGACUCGAUCACUAGGCUGGAAGUGCAUGGUGACCACCACAAGGAUAUAGUUGAACUUGUUGGAUUGGGGCAAUCCGUCAAUAAAGUUCAUCGUGACCACUUUCCAAACUCCUUCUCAUAAUGGUAACGAUUCGGAAAGUCUUGGGUAUUUCACCCUCUCGGGUUUUCCCUAUUGACAGACAUCACAUGAUUGCACAUAAUUCUCGAAACA
rnacentral:lncRNA from 1 species